UACGAAGGGGGCUAGCGUUGCUCGGAAUCACUGGGCGUAAAGGGUGCGUAGGCGGGUCUUUAAGUCAGGGGUGAAAUCCUGGAGCUCAACUCCAGAACUGCCUUUGAUACUGAAGAUCUUGAGUUCGGGAGAGGUGAGUGGAACUGCGAGUGUAGAGGUGAAAUUCGUAGAUAUUCGCGAAGAACACCAGUGGCGAAGGCGGCUCACUGGCCCGAUACUGACGCUGAGGCACGAAAGCGUGGGGAGCAAACAGGG
rnacentral:rRNA from 1 species